CGGCUUUGUUCGGAAUUACUGGGCGUAAAGCGCACGUAGGCGGCUAAGCCGAA
rnacentral:rRNA from 1 species